GCAUUCUGCCCAUAAACCUCGUCUCCCUCCUGUAGAAUUGCCCAGUUUACAGCAAACGAUUCAGGGAAUCAGGUCAGCUGUUCGGAGACGGCAGCCAUUAGGAGCGGUGCCGACAACUGUGAACAGAUGCCAACUCGAGCCAGAGAUCAGUGAAGACGGUGGUCACAAAGCACCAUGGGCCACUCCACUUUAAAAGGACAGAGGGACUAUCCUGGCUGGGAGUUUUUCCUGAGGGGAGAAGGAAAAGGCCAUGCAAACAAGAUGCUCAGUGAGACACUAUCUCUAAACAAGAAAAACAAAACAGCUGACAACAGAGAGUGGGAUCAGAGAGACGAUUUCUGAGAAGAGAAGCAAAGCUCUGGGGAGUGGCAACGUGGCAAGCGAAUGCAACCAGCCUGAGCGUCAGCAGGGACACACCUCAUUCUGCCCCCAUGCUGCCCCCAUGUGACCUUCAGCAAGCCCCUUCUCCUUCCAGGACCUCCAUUUCCACCUCUAGAUCUAGGAGGAUUCCAAGGCACCUGCCACCUCUGAUUCCAUGAUUCUCGCUGGCAGAGAGGUCAGAGGUCUAAACUACUCCCAUGUGACAGACACUAACCCGCCCACACUGGGGCACCUCUGUGGCAUGGACAUCAUGGGCACCAUUAAACCCCCCACUACCCCAGCUUCCCAAGCCCAGAACCCUGGCAUCCAUCUGAGAGUCUCUGUACCCUCUCUCCAAAUCCAGCCACUCUACAACUCCUGUUAAUGUGACCUCCUAACUACCUCUCAAGUCUCUGCCUCUUUCCAUCCCCACCACCAUCGCGCAUGCUCAGGCUAGCAUGCUCUCCUAUGUGGAUCACACGCACGUGGUCUCCCUUCUUCAGUGUUGCUCUCCUUCCAAUCCAUUUUCCAGACCACAGAGCAAUCUCUUUAAGAUGUAAAUAUGCCCUUGUCAUUUCCCUGCAUAAAACUCUAUGUCACCCCAUACCUUUCAGAAUUAUUUGCUAGGAUCUAUCAUGUGAGCUCUGGAGUCAGCCCUCCUGGGCUCAUACUGCAGCUCUGUCACUUACUAGGUCUGUGACUAUGGGCAAGUUACCACUUGGUGCCUCAGUUUCCCCACUGGUAAAAUGCAGAUAACAAUAGUACCUCCCUUACAAGACUGUUGUCAGGAUUAGUUAAUGCACGCAAGCGGCUUAGAACAGUGCCUGGCGUAUGAUAAGGAGUCCAUAAAUGGUAGCUGCUGUUUUUAUAGAUUCGUAAUUUUUAUAGACCUUCAAAGCCCUACCUGUUCAGGUCCCACUCAGCACUCCCGCC